AUCAAGGCAUAACUAUGAGACGCAAAGCUCCGUUCGUUUUUAUUCGGCCAAGGACUGUCGACUCUACAGCAUUUUUCAAAAUAAUUCAAGACGAUUUUCUGCUACUACAACAACAACAUGUAUAAUUUUGGAAUUAUCAAAUGUGAUCGUAUAGUAUUCGAGUGGAACAUACUCUUCGUGGUUUCUGGAACAGUUCGGUUUUAUACAACAUUUCCUCAUUGCAGAAUAUUUAUCCCCUGCUUAAUUGGACCGAUUUAUUACCAUAUAAAUGGAAUAACCCUAUCGUGGUUCGAAGUCCAGAUUAUAUAAAAGCAAUUGAAGAAUUGCUUGUCAAAUAUUCUACACGCGUUGUACAUAAUUCGAUGCUAAUUCUUUUUACUCUUGGAAUAUUGCCACCAGAUAAUCCAAAUCCAAUAAUAUGUACUCGCGCUACAAUGUGGGCUCUACCCGAUGUAACUUCUGCAAUUUUUGUGACUCACCAUUCUACAAGAGAUAUUAAAAACGCAAUAAAAAGAACCAAUCUUAUUUUCAAAUCACUCAAAGCUUAUUUAAAGCGUGCGCCUUCACUUAAAGGGGCAGCAUUAGUUAAACUUUCGUCACUACGAAUACAAUCUCAACCUUGGAAUGGCUUUACUAAUAUUACUUAUGCAGCAAAAGAUUUGGACUCUAUGGAUAUAUCCUCAGACGACUGGUUUGAAAAUAUAUUAAAAAUAUUUGGCAGAAAUAAAAUCGACCCCACAUCCAUAAAAAUUGAUAAAAAUUCUCACGAUACGUAAGUACACAAAAAUAAAAUUGGUUAGUUAUUCUUGAACAUUCUUGGCA